CUCUAGGCUUUUGCCAGCUGUUACAAGUUCUGCCUCAUGGCUCACGCUUGACAUUGCUGUUGGCAUGUCGCUCUUCUUUCAUUGUCACAGAGGUAUUGCUCCUCCUGUCACUGCCAAUCUUCCACUGCAGUCCUCAUGUCAUUGCUGGGACAGCUCUCACUGAAGUGACUGAGGCACUCUUCCACUUAAGAGACUCUACUGCUCUCUUAUUGUCUUCCGUCUUCCUAAGUCAAGAAACUCAUCUUAUCCCCUGGUCAGGAGAUAUUUGAGUGUCAUCAGACAUCAUGUGCUAGAAGAUAUUCUUCUUUUGUGUCCUUAGUGAGCAGGCAUCUCUAUUCUCAUUUCAGGGAGAAGCUAGCUGGGUGACUUGGCUGUCAUGUGCUGUGAGACUGAUCACCUUACCAGAGGAAAUGCUUUUAGCUUUUCACUAAAAGGAAGAUGAGGAAGAUGUUAGCUGUUGGCUGUACUAUAGUUUUUCAUUUUCGGUGCAAAUGUUCAAAGUGGAUACUAUUUCUUCCUGUUCUACAGAAACACUGAAAGUAGUAACCUAAUCAGAAAUUGAGGCCCUUUCCUAGCAGCCUGUGUUUGGGGAGAGGAUGCUUUUAGCAGAAAUAUUCUUUCAAGCUGUGAAGGAAUAUUUUACCCACAUAGUGAAACUUAAGACAGCACUUCUCAAACCUUACUAUGUAUGCAUUAUCUGUAGAUCUUGUGCAUAUGAGGAUUCUGAUUUUGUAAUUCUGAAGUGGAGACCGAGAUUCUGCAUUUCUAAUGGCUGCCCACAUGCUGCUGAUGUGAAAGUCCGGGGGCAUUUUAAUGCAAUUGAAGAUUAUCUGCCUAUCAUAUUAUAUCUUCCCCAUCUAUUAGAAUGGUGGAAAUUUCACCAUUUGAGAUUUAUAACUGUUAAGCUGUUCCUUCAUGUAUCCAAACUUGAAAUGAAAAUACCAUUGGAGAACUCUGAGAAGAAAUUCUUACCUUUCUCUUUAGUUACCAGCUGGACUUGAAGUAAAAGGUUGUAUAGAUGGGGUUGAUUUUCAACAUGUGUUCCUAACUUUUAAAGAACUACCCUAUCACGGGGUUACACCACAAUCAGUUGUCCUUGGAUAGCUUCAGAAGGAAAGGAAAACAGCAAAAGGAAGAUACAGAGAGAAAAAGAA